UUCUUCUGAUUUUCGCUCCUCUUUUUCCCGUUUCCCCUUUCUCUCCAUCGUCUCUUUCAUUCUCUGCCAUGGCAGAGCUUUCUCUUGGAAUUUUCCUCCAAUUUUGGCUAAGUCUUGACCUUCACUCUUUCCAUAACAGAGCAUAUCUUACCAUUUGGGUAAAAGAUCUGAAGCAAAUCCCUGAAAGCUUAGGAUUUUGACCAAGGAAUCUCAUGUUUUCUUUUGAUUUCUGCUGAGCUCUUCAAAAAUGAGGGGCUUUUUCUUUUGCUCAGCCGAGGUAGCGAGUCUGAGGUCGAAGUGCGAUAGUUGAUCGACGACGCUCCUAGUUCACUGCCCGCAAAAAGGUCAGUGAUCUCCCUUUAUCUGCUCCAAGUAAUAUUUGAGUUCUUUAGUAAAAAUAAGUGUGAGUUCUCUUUUCUGAUCUUUGAUUAGAAACUAGGAAAUAAAGAUUUAUCAUGCUUCCAUUCAAUGUUUCAUGUUGUUUGUGAACAAGUGAACGCGGACUAAGAUUUCUUUAUAAUAUUAUUCUGGAUUAAGUUAUUAGACUAUGUGAAGCAUUGUAUGCUGUAGAAAUCUUAUUUUUUUCUAAAAUAUAAGUUGUUAACCAGAAGUCAUGACUUAUGGAUUUGUUGCCAUAGAAAGUAUGGUCAUUAUCCAUUAGCAUAGUAAUACUUCAGUUUGAGACAAUCUGUUGAUGACAAAGAACCUGAAUUCUUUAAAAAAAAAAUCUAUUUGUGCUCCUUCACUGUAAUGAAAUCAAAUUCAUAAACAAAAUAGGAACCUACUAGUAUACCUUAAGAAAUAUUAUUGUUUCUUCAUUAUAACAUGGUUCACAUGACAUCCCUAAUAACUAGUUAAAGUUAAGUGUGAGUGCAGGGCUAUGUGCUAAACACCCCCUUCAGGAAUUGAUAUCAAUUCUGCCUGCACUUAAGGAUCAUAUGAUUGUUAAAUAAUAAGUUAGUAAUCAUGAUAGCAUGUAUAUAUGAUAUCUUAAGUAUUAAUGGUAAAAGUGAAACCUGUUAGCAUGUGUUUGUUGAACAAAGUACGGUUUUUGCUGCUGUCAUCUCCUAUGUACCUUUAAGAGUCAAGUUUAACUGUUGUUAAUGGCCUUAAGGAAGUGUAAAUCCCACUUUGUUUGUUAGGUUGAUCUAAAAGGAAAAACUUCAAAAAGGCACUUAGAGUGCUGUUUUAAAGUAGAAUUGCUUGUAUGUAGUAUACUACUGUUUCGUUCUAGUUCGUGGAAUAUUUCAGAUUUAAGGAGAUAAUUGUCAUUCUUGACUUGUAUGUUUCAUCGUCACAUGUAUUAAGAAUUAAGUUUUCUUCUCUAAUUUUCUUUUCUUUGCAUAUGCACUUGGAGCAAAACCGGAGUCUCACUCGAGACUCAACAGUGCCCGAGCAUGGAGUCAUCGCAUCCCAUAUCGUCUUCCAUAGAGUGCACCAGAUAGCAAGAAAACAAGCGAAACGCUCGGGGCGUCUAGCCGUCUAUGGCGUCCUUCUUUUAUUUCUUUUCCCAUUUCAUUGUAUCUUACUUUUUAUUUUUGUGUUUUGAGGUUUAUCCCUAUUUUGAGAUUUUUGUUGGAGCUUAUUAUUAACAUAGAAUUAAAUAGCUAUGCCUUAUUAAAUCA